AGGUUUUGAGAAGGCCGUAUUUCACGGGGAUUUGAACCGAAGACAUUUUCACCCGAUAAAUAGAUGAUAGGCCCGGCAGCGGCGUGUUAUACACGACGGCCGAUCCUUAUUAUAAACUCUAACUAGCUGAAGCCUCCUCUCCUGCCUAUAACCUACGUUGGUACUUCGAGACGACGGGGUACGACGAUAUACUUGAUGGGAUUCCUAGCCGAUGAUAGGUUGGAAUUUGGGAUCGAACCAAUCCGGAUUGGCCACCAAAGCUUUGGUCUCUCUUUUUUUUUUUCUUUCUUCUAAGUGAUCGAUCCACCCCUUUUCCAUCCCUGAGAACAAUAAUCUUGUCUAAGAGUUAAUAUAUCGUUUAUAGGGAGCGUGCGAAAUAUAGAGACGAAGAGGAUAAGGAUGAGAGAAAGCUAAUGCGAUAUGAAAUUCUAACAUAGUGGAGAAAGAUAUAGAGAGGACAGAAAAAAGACGAACGAUCGUGAGAAAGUUGAAGUGCGAGGGAGAGGAGGAAGUCGGAGGGAAAGAGUCGAACCGAUACAUCACUUCGUUCACUGUGGCGAACGGACUCGACCAAAAUAGCAAUUACCUUUCCGGAAUCAAAUGAAAUAAAAUUGCAUUAUCUGGCAUGCCAUUGGACGAUCAAUCAUUGUACGUCUUUCAGUACGAUUUCCUUUUUCGAGAAUUGUUUAUAUUUUUUGCAAGACAGUUACUCUUACUUUCUAUGUAAUAAUAAUCAUUGCAAACAAACGAACAAAUAAAUAUAUAUAUAAAAUUUUA